rnacentral:rRNA from 1 species
AUUGAACGCUGGCGGCAGGCCUAACACAUGCAAGUCGAGCGGAGGAAGGGAGCUUGCUCCUGGAUUCAGCGGCGGACGAGUGAGUAAUGUCUAGGAAUGUGCCUGGUAGUGGAGGAUAACGUCCGGAAACGGGCGCUAAUCCCGCAUCCGACCUGAGGGAGAAAGUGGGGGAUAUUCGGACCUCACGCUAUCAGCUGCGCCGAGGUCGGAUUGGCUAGUUGGUUGGGUAAAGGCCUACCAAGCCGACGAACCAUAACUGGUCUGAGAGGAUGAUGAGUCACACGGGAACUGGGACCCGGUCCAGACUCCAACGGAAGGAAGCAUUGGGGAAUAUUGGACAUUGGCCGAAGUCCUGAUCCAGCCAUGCGCGGGGGGUGAAGAAGGUCUUCGGAUUUUAAAGCACUUUAAGUUAGGAGAAAGAGCAGUAAAUUAAUACCUUCCUGUUUUGACGUUACCAACAGAAUAAGCAACGGCUAACUUCGUG